rnacentral:rRNA from 1 species
GACGAACGCUGGCGGCGUGCUUAACACAUACAAGUCGAACGGUAAGGCUCCAGCUUGCUGGGGUACACGAGUGGCGAACGGGUGAGUAACACGUGGGUGACCUGCCCUGCACUUCGGGAUAAGCCUGGGAAACUGGGUCUAAUACCGGAUAGGACCGCACCGUGAGGGUGUGGUGGAAAGUUUUUUCGGUGUGGGAUGGGCCCGCGGCCUAUCAGCUUGUUGGUGGGGUAAUGGCCUACCAAGGCGGCGACGGGUAGCCGGCCUGAGAGGGUGGACGGCCACAUUGGGACUGAGACACGGCCCAGACUCCUACGGGAGGCAGCAGUGGGGAAUAUUGCACAAUGGGCGGAAGCCUGAUGCAGCGACGCCGCGUGGGGGAUGACGGCCUUCGGGUUGUAAACUCCUUUCACCAUCGACGAAGGGUUUCUGACGGUAGAUGGAGAAGAAGCACCGGCUAACUACGUG